rnacentral:rRNA from 1 species
GACGAACCGUGCGAACGUUAUUCGGAAUCACUGGGCUUAAAGCGCGUGUAGGCGGGUGACCACGUCGGUCGCUGAAAGCCCCCGGCUCAACCGGGGGACCGGCGCCGAUACGGGCCAUCUGGAGGGGCGUAGGGGGACCUGGAACUUCCGGUGGAGCGGUGAAAUGCGUUGAGAUCGGAAGGAACGCCCGUGGCGAAAGCGAGGUCCUGGACGCCAUCUGACGCUGAGACGCGAAAGCCAGGGGAGCGAACGGG